AGUGCUCCCUCUGCUGGGGACUAAGCGAACUGCGGUUUGUCCUUCCCAUGGAAUACUACUCAGCAGUAAAAAGGAGGGAACUAGCCACACACGCAGCAACACCGCUGAAUCUCAGAAAGAAAAUACUAAAUGACGAAAGCCAAUCUCAGGACACAUACUUCAUGAGUCCAUUUCUGUGAUAUUCUGGAAAAGCAGAGGCCUGAGCUCGCCUGGAUGCCAUUUGGGGAUAUGACCAGCAGGGGGCGCCCCAGGACAGCCGACUUCUUUGGACGGGUCCACAAGGAUCACCCAGAAAUCCUGUCCUUCACACACUCAAGAGGAGUGUCCCUGCUCUUCCUCUUUUCCCAAAGCCCAGAUGGUCAGAUGUCUUCUGUAAAUCAUGUUCAGACGAGCCCUUAUGCACGUGACACUCUUCUCCAGGCCCACCAGCCCUCUGGAACAAGUCCUGCUCACCAGGAGAAGCUUUUCCAAGACGACUGGACAGUCUCAUUAACCAAGCAGGCAGGGCUGGGGCUGACUGGCACGGAGAGCCCGCAGCGGCAGCUGGCUGCUAUUCCCAGCACUGGCCCAGGGCCGAGGCCAUCAGCCCGGGGGGCUCCACGAGGGAGACGUGAACAAAGACGCAGGUGGAGAAUUCCGGGGAUCGCACAAGCAGAUGUCAUGAUGAUCGGAACAACGCUUGCAUUCGUACAGCAUCCUACAGUUUACCAAGGCCCUUUCCUUGCCAGCAAUCUGAUUCAGUCAGAUUAGUCUCCCCCCACCUGUGAGCGGCUGCCUUGGAUUCCACUGUGAAACUCAACUUGCUCCAGCCGUUACUGCUCCCCUCCUGCCCCUUCCCAGAGGCAGCACUUUCCAUGCCCCGGAACAGAACGUCGGGGAGGAGAAGCUGAAGCAGGAGCUGGUGUCUCUCCGGCCGGUCACU